CGAAGUCGAGGAGAAUCUUUCCGUUUAUCAAGUAUGAAUCUUGUCAAACAAAUCAAUGGCUGAAAUGCAUCAAGUGAAGCCAAAUCAAAAUUCAGUUUUGGGAAUUCCAGUCUAUAAAAUCAUUGAAGAGGUUAAAUAUACUGCAAAAGUAUUAAGAUGUCACUGAGAAACACAUAUCUGAUAAAGAUCUCUCCUGCUUGAACUUGAAGUCUGCCUCAGAAAGAUCUCGAAGUGGUGGAAGAAAGUUGACAUGCAAAAAGGACAAAAAGAGACAAAGAU